GUCUUUAUAGCUUACAAAAAAGCAUAACACUGAAGAUGUUAAGACGGUGGCCCCAAACGCCUAAAGACA
rnacentral:tRNA from 1 species